GACGAACGCUGGCGGCGUGCUUAACACAUGCAAGUCGAACGGAAAGGCCCUGCUUUUGUGGGGUGCUCGAGUGGCGAACGGGUGAGUAACACGUGAGUAACCUGCCCUUGACUUUGGGAUAACUUCAGGAAACUGGGGCUAAUACCGGAUAGGAGCUCCUGCUGCAUGGUGGGGGUUGGAAAGUUUCGGCGGUUGGGGAUGGGCUCGCGGCUUAUCAGCUUGUUGGUGGGGUAGUGGCUUACCAAGGCUUUGACGGGUAGCCGGCCUGAGAGGGUGACCGGCCACAUUGGGACUGAGGUACGGCCCAGACUCCUACGGGAGGCAGCAGUGGGGAAUAUUGCACGAUGGGCGGAAGCCUGAUGCAGCAACGCCGCGUGCGGGAUGACGGCCUUCGGGUUGUAAACCGCUUUCGCCUGUGACGAAGCGUGAGUGACGGUAAUGGGUAGAGAAGCACCGGCUAACUACGUG
rnacentral:rRNA from 1 species